UGUCUUUUUUUGUAACUUCCCUCCUGUAAUGUUUUUGUGUCUCUUGGCCCAUGUAACUCCCAAGCCCAUUAGAAAACAAAACAAUAACUGAUCUAUUUUUCCUAUACUAUAUUUUGAAUAAAAUAAAUACUACAAAUAAGUUUCUCAGAUAGAAUAGGAGUUCAAAGUAGAAAAUUCGGACUUUCUGCUUCUGGCCAUAUUCUGGGCUGAUUGGAAUGUCAAUAAAUUCUGAAACCUUACUUGAAUUAAAGGUCUUCUCGCAAGCUUUCCAACGGCUGUUUACGGGCCCAAAACGGACUUACAGAACUCCGGUUAUGAUCAAAACAAUGAACACAACACAAUUAAUCCCAAAAUCCGAAUUUUGCUAGAAAUCACUUCAAAUAAUGCACUUUUUGCUCCAUUCCUUCUAUUAUGAGAAUUCUUUAUUUUCUACAAGAAAACAUGAAAAUAUAUAUUAAAUAAAAUCCAGUUUCAUGCAAAAGUAUUUAAAAUAUG
rnacentral:lncRNA from 1 species